rnacentral:rRNA from 1 species
GACGUAGGGCGCGAGCGUUGUCCGGAUUUAUUGGGCGUAAAGAGCUCGUAGGCGGUUUGUUGCGUCGGGCUGUGAAAACCUACAGCUUAACUGUGGGCCUGCAGUCGAUACGGGCAGACUUGAGUUCGGCAGGGGAGACUGGAAUUCCUGGUGUAGCGGUGAAAUGUGUUGAUAUCAGGAGGAACACCCAUGGCGAAGGCAGCAAACUGGGCAUUAACUGACGCUGAGGCGCGAAAGCGUGGGUAGCAAACAGG